AGCGGCGUAAGGGGCAGUAAUACCUGGGAACGUACCCGGAGGUCGGGGAUAGCUGCUGGAAACGGCGAGUAAUACCCGAUGAUCUUGGAAAAGCAAAGGCUUGCCGCCUUCGGAGCGGCCCAGGCGAUAUUAGCUAGUUGGUGAGGUAACGACUUACCAAGGCCAAGAUGUCUAGCGGGUGUGAGAGCACGACCCGCGCCACUGGCACUGAGACACUGGCCAGACACCUACGGGUGGCUGCAGUCGAGAAUCUUCGGCAAUGAGCGCAAGCUUGACCGAGCGACGCCGCGUGCGGGAUGAAGGCCUUCGGGUUGUAAACCGCUUUGGUCCGAGAGAAAGGGCAACUUGAUCGAUCGGAGAAACAAGGACGGGCUAAGUUCGUGCCAGCAGCCGCGGUAAGACGAACCGUCCAAACGUUAUUCGGAAUCACUGGGCUUAAAGGGCGCGUAGGCGGCCGAGCGGGUCGCGGGUGAAAUCCUCCAGCUUAACUGGAGAACUGCCCUCGAUACCACUGCGGCUCGAGGAAGGAAGGGGUCAUGGGAAUUGUCGGUGGAGCGGUGAAAUGCGUUGAUAUCGACAGGAACGCCUGUGGCGAAAGCGCACGACUGGUCCUUUUCUGACGCUGAGGCGCGAAAGCCAGGGGAGCAAACGGGAUUAGAUACCCCGGUAGUCCUGGCCUUAAACGAUGAGAACUAGGUAG
rnacentral:rRNA from 1 species